AACGAACGCUGGCGGCAUGCCUUAUACAUGCAAGUCGAACGAGAAAGUCACUUCGGUGGCGAGUAGAGUGGCGCACGGGUGAGUAACGCGUAGAUAAUCUACCCUUCAGUCUGGGACAACUCUUGGAAACGGGAGCUAAUACCGGAUAAAACCUUCGGGUUGAAAGAUUUAUCGCUGGGGGAUGAGUCUGCGUACCAUUAGCUUGUUGGUGGGGUAAUGGCCUACCAAGGCGACGAUGGUUAGCGGGUCUGAGAGGACGAUCCGCCACACNGGAACUGAGACACGGUCCAGACUCCUACGGGAGGCAGCAGUAGGGAAUAUUGCGCAAUGGGGGCAACCCCUGAGCGCAGCAAUGCCGCGUGAGUGAAGAAGGCCUUCGGGUCCGUAAAGCUCUUUUAUGGGGGAAGAUGAUGACCG
rnacentral:rRNA from 1 species